CUUUCUUUCUUGUGCAUUAACAAUAACAUCAACACUAACAACAAUGACAACAUCAAAGAGACUUGCAGAAAAGAAAGUAGCAAAGUUUGAGAAAAACAUAACAAAGAGAGGGUUGGGCUCGAUGUCUUCCAAGAAGAUAACAAUGGAGCUAUAUGUGCUUGCUAUCUUCAUAGUCGUUGUUGUUGGAUCUUUUCUGUUUCAGAUUAUUAGGCUGGCAUUGAUGGGAUGAAGACGCUCCAUUGUGAUCUUAAGUCAAAUGCUAUCUAAACUCACAAUUUAGACAUCAAUAAUUUCAUUUA